rnacentral:piRNA from 1 species
UGCUCUUACAUUCGUGAAAAC